UACGAAGGGGGCUAGCGUUGCUCGGAAUCACUGGGCGUAAAGCGCGUGUAGGCGGUCUCGCAAGUCGGAUGUGAAAGCCCAGGGCUCAACCCUGGAAGUGCACUCGAUACUGCGAGGCUAGAGUCCCGGAGAGGAUGGUGGAACUCUCGGUGUAGAGGUGAAAUUCGUAGAUAUCGAGAAGAACACCGGUGGCGAAGGCGGCCAUCUGGACGGUGACUGACGCUGAGACGCGAAAGCGUGGGGAGCAAACAGG
rnacentral:rRNA from 1 species